GCCUUGCUGCAAGCAUUACUCCAGCUCUCCCGUUAAACCCGUGCCUUGAACCCUGCCCUGCCUGAUCUCUUGGUUUCUGGACACUUGGACUCCCUUAAGGACUUCUCUAUCUCCUCCUUCGGCGCUUCCCAAAUGAACCAUUACUUCCAAUGAGGUCAUCUCUCCUGGAUGAUGAAGUAUAAUUCUCUUCUUCUAAAGACUCAGUAGAUAGCGUGGAAAUAGAGUCAGAACUGCUUCCCUCUUUUCGAUGGAGAUGGUGCUGGUAUAAGACAUCAACCAAGUCAGACUUUAUACAUUUUUGGCACAGGUCUCCCCUUGAGGCAAAUCCUCCAUGGAAAUGCUGCAAGAAAAGAUAUGAGGAUGAACACAUGAAGCUGCUUCGUACAGAGUCAGACCAAAGGACCAUCUAGCCCAGUACUAUUCUACUCUGGCAGGCACCAUUCAUGCAGGGUCUCAGACCUUCCCAUCACCUACUACCCAAUCUUUCUGACUGGAGAUGCCAGGGACUGAACCUGUAGUCUUUGGUGCACAAAGCACAUGCCCUAACCCUAAACAAUGGGCCCCUCCCAAAAGUGGUCCUGGGUUGGUGGGUGUCAAGUUUUGCAAUUAUUAACUGGCUACAAUUCCCUCCUAAAAAAAGGCACCACUUACAAAAAAUGAUAUCCAGGAAUGGUCCUUGUUAAAUGCAUGGGGUGCUGUUCCUGCAGAAUUCUAGUACGGGUUUGGAGUAAACCAGUAUGGACAG